CAGUCUGCAACAUGCUUAGAAACAAAACACUACAUAGUGUGAUGCAGCAAAACAUACAUAGUGUGGUGCAGCGUCUUCUUGAGGAAGAGGAAACAAGAAGCAAAGCAGCAGUGUCCGUGCCUGUACAGAAUACCACAACAGCAGCCAUGUCAACGCAGACUGCCACAGAGAAAGAAGGAACCAAAAGGAAAACAACAGUGUCCGUGUCUACGCAGACUGUCAUGGAGGAAGAAACAAAAAGCAAAGCAAAGGUGUCUAUGUCUACACAGACCGGCACAGAGGAGGAAGGAAUCGAAAGUGCCAUCAGCAUCUCCACACAAACCAUCACCAAACCAGAGCAGCCUGAACCCAUAGGGGUUGCCCCUGUUCAGAAGAAGAAAUCGAGGAGCAAAUCAGUCCGCAUAGUGACUGACGAGGACACUGCAGGACCCUCGCACCCAGUGGAAGAGACAGAACCAGAGAUCAUCACUCGCUCUCUAUCCCUGGGUGAGCUACGUGACCUGCGGAGAGAAUUCACCCGCCAGACAAAUGAGUCCAUCCUCACCUGGCUUCUCCGCAUCUGGGACGCUGCAGCCAAUGACACCAUUCUGGAUGGAAGUGAGGCCAGGCAACUGGGAUCACUAUCCCGGGAUGUGGUCAUUGACCAGGGGAUUGGGAGAACCCAAGAAACUCUCAGCCUCUGGCGGCGACUGCUUGCAAGUGUGAAGGACAGAUACCUUUGUAAAGAAGACCUCCAGGUACUCCAAGGAAAAUGGAAUACCAUGGAACAAGGUAUCCGAUGCCUAAGGGAAUUGGCUGUGUUGGAGAUAAUUUUUGCAGAAGACGAAAGAUUUCCUAAGAGUCCAGACUGUGUCCAGUGCACAUCACAAAUGUGGUUGAGAUUUGCACGGCUUGGACCAGAGAUGUACGCUCGUUACCUGGCAACACUGCAGUGGAGAGAAGGCGAGGACAGGGUGGGCGUCCUAGCCAAUAAGUUAAGAAUUUACGAGGACACGGUCACCGCCCCGUUUCGUACCCAUGUCUCGUCCGUGGAAACAAGGUUGGCUGAGCAAGUCCGGGACUUGAUUGAAGAGAGUCAUAAGAAACUAAAAAAGGAACUUAAGGAAGAAGGCUACCAUAUUUUACCAGAACCAACAAGAAUCUCUGCCAUUAGGAGCCAGCGCUCCCAAGCCAAGGAGAGAGGAUACACUCCACGAGGAAACCUCUGGUUUUUUCUUCAGGAGCAUGGAGAAGACAUGAGGAAGUGGGAUGGAAAACCCACCUCUUCCUUAGCAGCCCGAGUACGUGAACUAAAAAGAACACCUAACACAAAAAGAGUAAAUGCUGCUCCAGUCUCUCAAACACAGAGUUCCAGACAAUAUAAGAAUAAUGAUAUAACUGAUCCUCUUGAAGGAACCUCAAGAACCUAUUUACCAGAAGAGAGCAACGUGUACCAUGACCAGGAAUAGAGGGGCCCUGCCUCUAGCCAGGUAGAGGACAGGGACAAUCGGAUCUAUUGGACCGUGUGGAUUCGAUGGCCUGGCACAUCUGAACCACAAAAAUAUACAGCUUUGGUUGACACCGGUGCCCAAUGUACC
ensembl:lncRNA